GUGGGGAAUAUUGGACAAUGGGCGCAAGCCUGAUCCAGCCAUGCCGCGUGAGUGAUGAAGGCCCUAGGGUUGUAAAGCUCUUUCAGUGGGGACGAUAAUGACGGUACCCACAGAAGAAGCCCCGGCUAACUUCGUGCCAGCAGCCGCGGUAAUACGAAGGGGGCUAGCGUUGUUCGGAUUUACUGGGCGUAAAGCGCACGUAGGCGGAUCGUUAAGUCGAGGGUGAAAUCCUGGAGCUCAACUCCAGAACUGCCUUCGAUACUGGCGAUCUUGAGUCCGGAAGAGGUGAGUGGAACUCCUAGUGUAGAGGUGAAAUUCGUAGAUAUUCGGAAGAACACCAGUGGCGAAGGCGACUCACUGGCCCGUUACUGACGCUGAGGCGCGAAAGCGUGGGGAGCAAACAGGAUUAGAAACCCGAGUAGUCC
rnacentral:rRNA from 1 species